rnacentral:rRNA from 1 species
UACGUAGGGUGCAAGCGUUGUCCGGAAUUACUGGGCGUAAAGCGCACGUAGGCGGACUGUUAAGUCGGGGGUGAAGUCCUGGGGCUCAACCUCAGAAUUGCCUCCGAUACUGGCAGUCUCGAGUGCGGGAGAGGUGAGUGGAAUUCCCAGUGUAGAGGUGAAAUUCGUAGAUAUUGGGAAGAACACCAGUGGCGAAGGCGGCUCACUGGCCCGUAACUGACGCUGAGGUGCGAAAGCGUGGGGAGCAAACAGG